rnacentral:lncRNA from 1 species
GCAGCCCUCCCGGGAUCCCCCGCUUCCCCCCGGGUACCCCCAUCCCCUCCCGGGAGAUGCCCUUCCCCAGCGCCGGGAGAAGUCGGACUUUGUACUCACCCCCUGCCUGCUGCUGUAGCUCUGAGUCUGGAGACCGGCUCUGAUUCCGGCUCCAUCACGUUUAGUGCAUUGUCUCUUUCGGGCAAUUUUUGCGGCAAUCCAUCAGAAAAAAAGGGACAGGCCGGUUUGUGGGUACAUCCUUCCCAGGAGCUCAGCUCUCUGCCUCUCUAAGGGGCUCAGCUGUGUCAAAGACACCCCCUGGCCCGGACGGCUCACUCCUUCCUCCUUCUCUUCUGGGUCCUUUUGCUUACACAGAUCUUUUAAUCCCAUUUAACUCCCUCUCGGCAGACUGCAAUUACCUUGGGAAAAAGGAGAGAGAACAGAAAGUACACGCUAGGAAGCCAGGCUGGCCCAUGGUCGCUGGAUUUCUUGUCUCUCUUUUUUUUUUUUUUCUCCCCUCCUUAUUAAUAGUACAAUUUCUGUGAUCUCUGAUUUCCAAAGUCCUUGAUUUAAAGUGAGUUUUUUUUCUUAGCUGUUACUUUUGUUGUUGUUGUUUGGUUGGUGGUUGUAAUUAUUAUUUUUAUUUGCAGUGCAGAUGUGCCUCCCACCCCCCCAAGGAUCUCUCCUCUGGACUUAGAGAGAAGAGGAAAAGGCAGAUUUUGAGAAAUGAAAAUUAUUUAAGGAUGUCCCUGCCGCCUCUCUCUGCUGCCCUCCUCUGUAAUACUGAAGCACUUACAAAAAAAUAAUACAAAAUAAAUAAAUAAAGGAACUCUUUUGGCCAGAAGAGCUGCCGAGAAGCAAUCAAAGACCCCUUCCAGGCUCUGCAGAGGAAACACACAGCCCCCCCAGUCUGGGGGAGGCCGCUGAUGGAAAUCACUGCUCCUCUGCACUCACCUGCCGGGGGGGGGCCAGGAGCCCACUUGCCCAAACUGGCUUCGACCCACCUCACCACGAGCUGGCAAAGGACUCAUGUUCUAAGCAGCAAGUAUUUAGUAACCUUCCCUUCCUACAAAAAAAAAAAAACAAAAAACAAACACAUUUGCUCUGCCCAGAAAAGAACAAGGCGCUGGAUUCCUACAGCCAAGGACAGAGAAGAAAGGAAAAAGAUGUGCUGCAUCUUUUUGGGAAGAGGUAAGCAACCAGGAUGUGUCUGGGUAGCUGGUAGGGACUGGCAAUGCUUCAGGUUCACUGCGUGGCACCAAGGACCACCAUAA